ensembl:lncRNA
GACUGGGGAGGGUUCUCGGAAAAGCAGGAAGGGGACAUAAACAAAGGAACCUCCACAUUCUUUUUUUUUUUUUUUUUUUUUUUUNGCCAGCAUUCUUUUGAAGAGCAGACCUUGGCAGCUGAAUUUCAGGCUGCACGUGAGACCUAACUAGCUUAAUCAUCGAACCCUAUUAUAAACUAAAGGACAGAGAAGAUGCCAGGUACCAUGCAAAGCAAAGGAAUUCUGCCAGUCCACUCGAGUCUCAAUGGAUUAUGGGAAGAAGAAAUUGGAAGUAGAGAAAGAGGUCCUGGAGCAAGAAGAUAUUUUAGAUAAAUCAAGGGGAAAUCUGGGGGCAGAGAAGCUUUUAUUUCACUUCCCAUUUGUGACUGCAGAAGCACAAAAAGAAAAAAAAAAAAAAACACACACUGCCACUUUGACCUGCAGGAUCAGAGACCAAAUGGAGACCUACCACUCCUGUGCUAAGGAGGCUUCUGCUAAGUAAGUGAACAUACCUGGUAUGGAAGAAAUAGACCAUGCUAAUAGACAUUAGCAGUGGAGACUAAGAGGACAUUCAGGGGCAAGGCUGAGGUAUAAAAAAAACAACUAGAGAUUUUAGUAGUCAAGAGCUGAUGUGUCAGUCCAUGGUCAUCGAAGACUAAGGGUCCUUUUUACUUUUCUGCUUUACCAUCCAUUGCUUUCUUCCAUAGGGUCCAAGAUGGCUGUUCCAGCCCUAGUCAUCAUAUCUGCAUUCCAGCCAGUGGGAAGAAAAAUUGAGGAGGGGCAUUGUGCCCCUCCUAAGGAUAUACUCAAAUUAAGUAAGUGAGUGGGUUAAUAAAAGGACUGUUGACGAGAGUGAGCAGAACCAGGAAGAAAGUAACUCGUUACCUGCAACUAUCACCUGAGAGAGUUGUUACCACUAGUAGGCUUGAAGGGACAAGGAGAGGAGUGGUUAUCUGAAUGUACACAGUGAGCUGUAGCUGUCAUGGAGAGCCAUCAUACAGGAGGCUUGGCUUCUAGUGAAGGAAUACACCAUGCCAACUUACAGCCUGACCCAGACAGAGAAGAGUCUUCGGACUUCUGUUUCCUGUUGCUACCUUGCAGAGGGCUUCCAGGAUUAAGUACCAAGGUAAGUUCUGUUUUUCUUUUAUAUUUUACAUGUCAGUCCUUUGUUGGUUCCCAGCAUUGUAUUUUCUCCCAGUUUUUGGUUAAUCUUUUCACCUUCUUUAACAUAAUCAUUUGGUGAGCAAAAUUGUUAGUUUUAAUGAGCCAAAUUAAUCCAUCUUUUCCUUCAUAGUUUGUGCUUUUUGUUUCUUAAGAAAUCAUUCUCUUCCUCCAAAGCAACAGAGAUAAUAUGUGUGUAGUUCUUCCUAAAGUUUUUUACCUUUAACCACUCACAGCUAACCCCUUGAUUCACCUGAAAUCAGCUUCAGUGAGAAUUGCCAAGUAGGGAUUCAAUUUAUUUUCUAUAUAAAUCUGAAACAUUUCUUAAAAAUUCUUUUGCUUUAGAAUAUUUAAAUUACAGAAUAUUCUAUUUCCUAGCAAUAAAACAGGGGGUGUUUAAUAGUGAGAUAAAUCC